rnacentral:rRNA from 1 species
AUGGCGACCAGCUUCGGCGGCGACGGCGCACACGGAGUCGACGGAAGCGGCGACGGCGCACUUAGCGGCGAAGGCGGAGGUACUACUUCAGGGCAGAAGCGGCUGCGCUCACAAUGCGGAGUCAUCGACCCCACUCUCGGCCCCCACACCGAUGGCGGCUGCGACCUAGAUCCAGAGACGGCCGCGGCGGCGGGCCUGUCGCCGGAGCCUGGUACCGAGGAAGCAGCUUUGCAGAUUGGUCCCGAGGAUAUGCUCCCGUUCGCCCCAUCUUCAGCUAGGCCUGAAGAUUUAUGGUCAAUCUAUUUCCAGUUUCCUGGGAAGAAGUAUGCUCUUGUUAAGAUGUCUGAAAGAGAAAUCACUUAUGCUAGUUUGGUCAAUGUAAUGGUCACCAAUGGAUACUGUAAGGAUGACAGUCUUUGCUACUUGAAAGAGGAAGAUAUAGGGCUGCAAGGUGUUUGUGUCAUUAAAGGCAACAUUGAAGUAGUUCGCAUGCUGAGAGAAUUUGAGAGCACCCAGACAUUGUCACUGACAGUUAUAAAGGGAAAGGUAGUUAUUGAACCACCAAUUGGAGAAGAUCAAGAUGCACAACAAAUAGAUGCAGAGCCAGGUGUUGUUUUUGCUGUUGCUGAAUCAGGUGUUGUGCACAAAUCAGUUCCUCCUAACUGUCAGUUACAUCUUGGGACACAGGAAAGUGUAAAUUUUUUGCCACUCAAAUCAGUUCCUCCUGAAGUAAGUGUCAAUUAUGCUGAUUUUCAGUUUGAUUCAAAUGAGGAGGACAAUGCAGUUAGUGAGGAAGAAAUUCCUAUAGGCAUGGACACAGAUGAUGAUGAAGGUUCAAGCAGUGAUGAAGAAUUUGUAGUUGAUGUGGACCUCUUAGCUGCAGGAGAAGAAGAAGAUGACUCAGAUUCAGUGCAAUAUGUGGAAGAACAGAGUGCAAAGAGGAGGAAAGAGGAACAUGAGCUAGAUGAAACUAUUGCUGACAUAAAGAGGAAGAGAGCUGAAUACAUGGCUAGUACACUCUGUGAGGGGGACACCGAUCCUGAAGAUAUAUAUGACAUGGACCAGGAAGAAGAUGAUGAGGAGGCCCAAGAGAUCCCAGUUCCCGAGCCUAUUAAGAAGAAGGCAAAGAGGCCAGGUCCUACAAGUAGGUCCCACUCAAGUGCUGGGCCAACCAUUAAUCCUGAUUGGUUUCCAUCUUCAGAAGAGGAAGAUACAUGCUUUGAAGCAGAUGAUGAUGGCAAUGAAGCAAUGUCCUUUGUUAUCAGCUCUGGCAGAAGGAGUAGAGCUAAGAAAAGACCACCUAGGGUCUGGUAUGAUGAGAACAGGAUGCAUCCAGAACAACAAUUCCAGCUGAAGCUCUGUUUGAAAGAUGUUUACCAAUUCAGAGAGGCCCUUGUCAAUUUGCAUGUUAAACAACUUAGAAGAUACAAAUAUCACAGAAACUGCAGUGAUAGGAUAAUAGUUUGCUGUGAUGGAGAUGGUUGUCAGUUCUACAUGGUAGCAGCACAGAUAAGAAAUGAGCCCACUUUCUGCAUUAAGAAGAUGAGGUUGGAGCACACAUGUCCCACCCAGUCUGAGAAAACUAGGAUUAGUUCAAGGUGGCUUGGCAACAAAAUGCUUGAAACUAUCAGAUCAGAUCCCAACACUACUGUACCUGCUAUUGUUGACAAGGCAAAGAAGCAAUUUGGGCUUGAGAUUCCUAGGAUGAUGGCAUGGAGGGCUAAGAAGAAAGCAAAGGAGAUUGUGCUUGGUGAUCACAAGAAGCAAUAUAAGAGGCUGAGAGACUAUUUGGAGACUGUGAAGCUUACAAAUCCUGGAUCUAGGUGCAUUGUCACUACAGUUAGUGGCAAAACCAGAGAAAAUCCUACUGCUGGACCAAGGUUCCAUGGUCUAUUUUUCAGUUUGAAUGCAUGUUGUGAGGGCUUCUUGAAUGGAUGUAGGCCAUUCAUAGGUCUAGAUGGCUGCAUCAUCAAAUUGACAAGUGGUGCACAGAUACUAGCAGCUACUGGAAGGGAUGCAAACAACAAUAUGUACCCCAUUGCAUUUGGAGUGGUUGGAGUUGAAGAUACAGUGAACUGGUCCUGGUUCUUGACACAACUCAAGUAUGCUAUAGGAGGAAGUGAAGAGGGCAAAUUUGGAAAGUACACAUUCAUGUCUGAUAGACAGAAGGGUCUACUGAAUGCAGUGACAGCAGAAUUCCCAAACUGCGAUCAUAGGUACUGUUUGAGGCACAUCUAUGCAAACUUCCAGAGAGCAGGAUUUGGAGGAGAGGAUUUGAAGAGAUGCAUGGAUGCAGCUGCCUAUGCUUACACUGAACAUGACUUUAAUUUGGCUAUGGAAAGCAUGAAGGCUGAGUGCACUGCUGCUUGGGAGUGGAUGUCAAGAAUUCCUCGUAAAGCUUGGUCUAGGCAUGCAAUGGACACUAAUUGCAAAACUGAUUUGGUGGUGAAUACCUUAAGUGAAGUUUUUAAUAAGUACAUUCUAGAUGUAAGGAACAAGCCAAUUGUCACAAUGAUCAAUGGGAUCAAGGACAAGUUUCUAGUGAGGUUCCACCAGAAGAGAGAGGGUGGAAAAUGUGCUAGAUGGGAGAUUGCACCAACCUAUGCAGAGAUGUUGGAGGUGAACAAGAAGUAUGCAAGGGAUUGCAAAGCACUGAUAGCUGGCCAAGGACUUUUCCAAGUCACUAGUGGAGACAAGACCUAUGGUGUUGACACAAACCUACAGAUAUGUGGGUGCAAGAAAUGGGACAUCACUGGAGUUCCUUGCAACCAUGCUUGUUCUGCCAUCUAUAGAUCUAAACAGCUGCCAGAGGAUCAUAUCAAUGUGUUUUUCAAGAAAUCUAUGACAAGAAGGGGCCAGCAAAAGAGAAAAGGAAAAAAAGGAAAGUUUGAGCCACCUCAAGCAAAGCAGACAUCUAGGAUGGCUACUAUAACAUGUGGGAACUGCAAGCUGCAAGGACACAAGUACACAAGUUGUCCAAAGCCAUUGAGGCCUGAUCUGCAAAUCAGGAGGAACAAGCACAUGGCAAACAGGACUGUACCUGAAUGGCACCAUGGUGCAGCUUCAUCAGCUACUGGAAGUGCUAGGGGUGCACCAUCAUCAUCUACUAAUAACUCCUCUCCUGCUGCUGCAAGAGGUGCAAAGACUAGUUCAUCUGCUGCAAGGGGUGCUAGUUCAUCUGCUGCUGCUGGAAGGGGAGCAAGGUCUGCUACUACUCCUGGAAGGGGUGCUAGUUCUUCUCCUACUGCUGGGAGAGGUGCAAGAUGUUCCACUGCUGCUAGAAGGGGUGCAAAAAGGUUCAAGCCUCCAAGAAGUUCUGCAGAAGCUUCUACUAGCCAGCCUGCAGGCAGUAGGCCAAAGAGGACAAAGUACAUGAGCAAGAGGAUGGAGGGGUACUUCUAUGCCAGUGGGAACUACUAA